rnacentral:rRNA from 1 species
GCCUCUGAUAUCUCUAGCAGCCAAAGCCUCGUUUUAGGCUAGAGUAGUACUGGGAUGGGUGACCGCCUGGGAAGUCCUAGUGUUUUACAUGCC